CCCAGUGAGGCCUGUGUGAGCACGGCCAGUGCUGGCCCCCAGCCUGGGACCUCUCCUGAUAGACCCCCGGACCUGGGCCCGCCUGUGGACAAAGGAGUGCCCCCUGCCUACCGACCUGCCCGCCUCAGGUCUCCCACCCUCACCCCGGCCCUGCAUGGAGAGGUCCUGGAAGAUGGGGCACCACAUGGAGAGAGAGGCGACGUACAGGAGAGAGGAGGCGCCCCUACCGAGCUAGCUGAACGGAGCAUGCCUGAGUCUCGCCUGGAACUUCUUCCCACCGGAGCCUGCAGAGACACGGAGAACAGUGCCGUGCUCAUCCUACAUCUUUCUUACUGAUGGUUGGUGGCACCAAUGGAAGGAGGAACGUUCAAGAACCCCCAACGGGAGGUCUGGCCACCAUCAACAGCGGGACAGUUGGUGUGAGCCCCGAACAGCUUGGCACAUCCCCUAAGCCCCGGCCACUCUGAGGAAACUCGCCGUGUGUGCCCAUUUGUCUGGUUGCGGAUCCGCAGAAGAUUUUUCUCCUGGGCCGACAGCUUCCUUGGGUCAGGAUAGACAGACAGCUCACUGGCUGUUUCUUCGCACUGGCUCCGGGUCUGUCCCAGCUGUUUCUCAAGCUCUCGAACCUGAAGGUGGUUCCACAACAGGUGCGGAGACUGAGACACAGAGAUGAAGAGUUUUGUUCAAAGACACCAACAUGUAGACUAAUGACUGGGGCCAGACUCAAACUCAGGUCUCUGGAAGCUCAAGGCCACCCACUGGUUGUUAAUUACAGUUUUUUGGAGACCUCUUCAUUUGGCUUCAAGGAUCCCACAGGAGACCCUGAGGGUAAAAGCCACUGGAGAAGCUGGGGUGAAGCUGAACCUGCACGUGGCAAAUAGUGGAAGUGGCCCACCUAACUGCGCGUCUGUUAGUUGCUUGGCCCAGCUAUCCUCAGACAGCGUUUCCUCCAUGCCAGGCACUGCGGACGAGGAUCUGUUGAGCCCGACCCCUCCAGGUCCCAGGCGAGGACAGGAGCUGCUGGAUGUUCACAUCUUCCCCAACCUCACUAGUCAAAACCUGAAAAAGGUGGGGCCUUCAGUAUGACCCAAAGCACAGUAUGUGCAGAAACAGUGCUGCGUGCCUGGCAUUCCCAGAAGACCCGGCCUCCACCUGCACAACCACCCCCGUCUCCCCCCUCCCCACCUCAAAGGCCAGUUGACCACGCUAUAGAGCAGCUCUCCCUGGGAAAGCAGUAAACCCACCUUCCCCAGCACUUCCCAGUGAUGCUCAGAGCAGACAAGGAACUGGUGACAGUGCCCAGGCGGGGCCGCCUGCU